GCCCCGGGAGUCUCCAGAGCAGCGCGCGGGGCAGACCUCCUCGGGUCCUCCGGCGCUUCGGUCUCCGGAGACGCCCGGCCUCCUGAAGGGUUCGGCUUGUCCUCCUCUGGCGCUCAGCUCCCUCUGGCGGCCGGGCUGGCAGGACCUCAGCGCCCAGCCCUUCCGUCUUGUUACGUCCAGGGUCUCACUCUGUGUCUCAGGCUGGAGUACAGUGGUGCAAUUGUAGAUGGCUGCAGCCCUCGACCUCCUGGGCUCAAGUGAUCCUCCUGCCUUAGCCUCUCGAGUAGCUGGGAGUACAGAUGCACACCACCACACCCAGCCUAGAAUGAAGAAACCUGCAGUUGGGAAGCAUGAAUUUACCACCUAUUAAGGAACUGGUGAAGAUUUCCCCAGCAAAAAGUAGAAGCUCAGUGUUUCAUAGAUGAAGACUGGGGAGAUUGCAAAAGACCCAUCCAGCAGUGGUUCUCAGACCUCAGUGUGCAUCAGAAUCACCUGGAAGGCUUGUGAAAACACGUAUUGCUGGGCCACACCCCCAGAAUUUCUGGAUCAGUAAAGCUGGGAUUCUUACUUUGAGUAGCCAACUUGCAGAAUACAAUAGAAUUUUGGGAGGAGCCCCUCGAUGCCUGGCUUUACUGUUGGAGAGACAGUACAGUAUACACCAGAUGACUUAUUUGUGAACCAUGGAAACGUUUGGAAAAGGACUGUUUCUGCCAUGCGUGUUACUCAUUGCCAUGGUGCUUAUGACAGUGAAGGAAAGAGUCUCACUUUGUCGCCCAGGCUGGAGUACAGUGGUGCGAUCUUGGCUCUCUGCAACCUCUGCCUCCCAGGUUCAAGUAAUUCUCCUGCCUCAGCCUCCCGAGUAGCUGGUACUACAGGCACACAUUUGUAGAGAUGGUGUUUCCCCAUGUCAUCCAGGCUGGUCUGGAACUCCUGGGAUCAAGUAAUCCACCCGCCUCGGCCUCCCAAAGUGCUGGGAUUACAGACGUGAGCCACCACGCCCUGCCAAUAAAAAGAUUAUCUCCAGAUGCUGGAAUGACCAGUAAUUUAUUUUCUUCCUUUUUUUUUGUCUGCACUUUCUACCAUAAUCAUAUGUUAGCUUCUUACUAAGAAGAAAAGUCAAUGUUAUUUCCCUGAAAAAGUAAUGUUGUUUGGUUAUUAAACAAAUUUAAUUUUCUAAACAAGAGUACGACAGGUAAACUGCCUACCUUAAAAGCAAACGAACACAAAUAAAUAAACUAACCAUCUUCCACUUC
rnacentral:lncRNA from 1 species